rnacentral:tRNA from 1 species
AUUUAAAUAGUUUAAUUUAAAAUGUUGAUUUGUGGAAUCAAAGAUAUUGAUAAAAUUUUAAAUA